rnacentral:rRNA from 1 species
AUGGCACCCAAGGCUCCUAAAGCUCCCGUGACCUGCAACUUGUUUAAAUCCACUGUUACAGAGAGCAUCUUGUCUGAUUUUGUGAAAUCUGACCAUCUGCCCAAGACGAAGAAGGUCAUAUCUUAUCGUGCUCCUAACCCGUCGGAGGAGAAGCCUCAACCUAAAAAAGGGGAGGUAAUCAUGUUUACUAAUCACAUGAACCGGGGCUUCGGUCCACCCGGUUCAAAAUUCUUCAGGGAUGUUUUGCAUUUAUUUGACCUCAGACCUCAAGACAUCGGGCCCAAUUCUGUGUCAAACAUCUGCAACUUCCAAGUCUUUUGCGAGGUGUACCUUGGAGAAGAGCCCAAUAUACUUCUAUUCAGAGAGUUGUUCUAUUCAAACCGGUAG